rnacentral:rRNA from 1 species
UAGUCCACGCCGUAAACGAUGGUCACUAGUUGUUGGGGCUUUAUGCCUCAGUGAUUAAGCGAAAGUGAUAAGUGACCCACCUGGGGAGUACGAUCGCAAGAUUGAAACUCAAAGGAAUUGACGGGGGCCCGCACAAGCGGUGGAGCAUGUGGUUUAAUUCGAUGAUACGCGAGGAACCUUACCAGGGCUUAAAUGUAAGUUGCAUAGACCAGAGAUGGUCUUUUCUUCGGACUACUUACAAGGUGCUGCAUGGUUGUCGUCAGCUCGUGCCGUGAGGUGUCAGGUUAAGUCCUAUAACGAGCGCAACCCCUACCGUUAGUUGCCAGCAUGUAAUGAUGGGGACUCUAACGGGACUGCCGGUGCAAACCGUGAGGAAGGUGGGGACGACGUCAAAUCAUCACGGCCCUUACGUCCUGGGCCACACACGUGCUACAAUGGCCGGUACAGAGGGAAGCCACCACGUAAGUGGGCGCGGAUCUAUAAAACCGGUCACAGUUCGAAUCGGGGUCUGCAACUCGA